AAGAGUUUGAUCCUGGCUCAGAUUGAACGCUGGCGGCAGGCCUAACACAUGCAAGUCGAGCGGAUGAGGGUAGCUUGCUACCUGAUUCAGCGGCGGACGGGGGAGUAAUGCCUAGGAAUCUGCCCGAUAGUGGGGGACAACGUUUCGAAAGGAACGCUAAUACCGCAUACGUCCUACGGGAGAAAGCAGGGGACCUUCGGGCCUUGCGCUAUCGGAUGAGCCUAGGUCGGAUUAGCUAGUUGGUGGGGUAAAGGCUCACCAAGGCGACGAUCCGUAACUGGUCUGAGAGGAUGAUCAGUCACACUGGAACUGAGACACGGUCCAGACUCCUACGGGAGGCAGCAGUGGGGAAUAUUGGACAAUGGGCGAAAGCCUGAUCCAGCCAUGCCGCGUGUGUGAAGAAGGUCUUCGGAUUGUAAAGCACUUUAAGUUGGGAGGAAGGGCAGUAAGUUAAUACCUUGCUGUUUUGACGUUACCAACAGAAUAAGCACCGGCUAACUUCGUGCCAGCAGCCGCGGUAAUACGAAGGGUGCAAGCGUUAAUCGGAAUUACUGGGCGUAAAGCGCGCGUAGGUGGUUCGUUAAGUUGGAUGUGAAAGCCCCGGGCUCAACCUGGGAACUGCAUCCAAAACUGGCGAGCUAGAGUAUGGCAGAGGGUGGUGGAAUUUCCUGUGUAGCGGUGAAAUGCGUAGAUAUAGGAAGGAACACCAGUGGCGAAGGCGACCACCUGGGCUAAUACUGACACUGAGGUGCGAAAGCGUGGGGAGCAAACAGGAUUAGAUACCCUGGUAGUCCACGCCGUAAACGAUGUCGACUAGCCGUUGGGAUCCUUGAGAUCUUAGUGGCGCAGCUACCGCAGUGAAGUAGACCGCCUGGGGAGUACGAUCGCAAGAUUAAAACUCAAAUGAAUUGACGGGGGCCGCACAAGCGGUGGAUUAUGUGGAUUAAUUCGAUGCAACGCGAAAAACCUUACCUGGCCUUGACAUGUAACGAACUUUCCAGAGAUGGAUUGGUGCUCGAAAGAGAACGUUAACACAGGUGCUGCAUGGCUGUCGUCAGCUCGUGUCGUGAGAUGUUGGGUUAAGUCCCGCAACGAGCGCAACCCUUGCCAUUAAUUGCCAUCAUUUAGUUGGGCACUUUAAUGGGACUGCCGGUGACAAACCGGAGGAAGGUGGGGAUGACGUCAAGUCCUCAUGGCCCUUAUGGCCAGGGCUUCACACGUAAUACAAUGGUCGGUACAGAGGGUUGCCAACCCGCGAGGGGGAGCCAAUCCCAGAAAGCCGAUCGUAGUCCGGAUUGUAGUCUGCAACUCGACUACAUGAAGUCGGAAUCGCCAGUAAUCGCGGAUCAGCAUGUCGCGGUGAAUACGUUACCGGGCCUUGUACACACCGCCCG
rnacentral:rRNA from 1 species